UUCCUGGUGGUCUAGUGGCUAAGACUCCACGCUCCCAAUGCAGGGGCCAGGGUUCCAUCCCUGGUCAGGAAA
rnacentral:tRNA from 1 species